AGCGUAAUAGCUCACUGGUCGAGUCGGCCUGCGCGGAAGAUGUAACGGGGCUAAACCAUGCACCGAAGCUGCGGCAGCGAACGUAUCACUUAAAGCGAUUCAGCGGGUUACGAUUGACGGAGCGAAGCGACGUCAAAGCGUAUACAAAGUCGAGUCGGUUUAAGGAUACGUUCGUUGGGUAGGGGAGCGUUCUGUAAGCCUGUGAAGGUGGCCUGUGAGGGUUGCUGGAGGUAUCAGAAGUGCGAAUGCUGACAUAAGUAACGAU
rnacentral:rRNA from 1 species